rnacentral:rRNA from 1 species
CAUGCAAGUCGAGGGGCAGCAUGGUCUUAGCUUGCUAAGGCCGAUGGCGACCGGCGCACGGGUGAGUAACACGUAUCCAACCUGCCGUCUACUCUUGGACAGCCUUCUGAAAGGAAGAUUAAUACAAGAUGGCAUCAUGAGUCCGCAUGUUCACAUGAUUAAAGGUAUUCCGGUAGACGAUGGGGAUGCGUUCCAUUAGAUAGUAGGCGGGGUAACGGCCCACCUAGUCUUCGAUGGAUAGGGGUUCUGAGAGGAAGGUCCCCCACAUUGGAACUGAGACACGGUCCAAACUCCUACGGGAGGCAGCAGUGAGGAAUAUUGGUCAAUGGGCGAGAGCCUGAACCAGCCAAGUAGCGUGAAGGAUGACUGCCCUAUGGGUUGUAAACUUCUUUUAUAAAGGAAUAAAGUCGGGUAUGNAUACCCGUUUGCAUGUNCUUUAUGAAUAAGGAUCGGCUAACUCCGUGCCAGCAGCCGCGGUAAUACGGAGGAUCCGAGCGUUAUCCGGAUUUAUUGGGUUUAAAGGGGAGCGUAGAUGGAUGUUUAAGUCAGUUGUGAAAGUUUGCGGCUCAACCGUAAAAUUGCAGUUGAUACUGGAUAUCUUGAGUGCAGUUGAGGCAGGCGGAAUUCGUGGUGUAGCGGUGAAAUGCUUAGAUAUCACGAAGAACUCCGAUUGCGAAGGCAGCCUGCUAAGCUGCAACUGACAUUGAGGCUCGAAAGUGUGGGUAUCAAACAGGAUUAGAUACCCUGGUAGUCCACACGGUAAACGAUGAAUACUCGCUGUUUGCGAUAUACGGCAAGCGGCCAAGCGAAAGCGUUAAGUAUUCCACCUGGGGAGUACGCCGGCAACGGUGAAACUCAAAGGAAUUGACGGGGGCCCGCACAAGCGGAGGAACAUGUGGUUUAAUUCGAUGAUACGCGAGGAACCUUACCCGGGCUUAAAUUGCAGAUGAAUUACGGUGAAAGCCGUAAGCCGCAAGGCAUCUGUGAAGGUGCUGCAUGGUUGUCGUCAGCUCGUGCCGUGAGGUGUCGGCUUAAGUGCCAUAACGAGCGCAACCCUUGUUGUCAGUUACUAACAGGUUCCGCUGAGGACUCUGACAAGACUGCCAUCGUAAGAUGUGAGGAAGGUGGGGAUGACGUCAAAUCAGCACGGCCCUUACGUCCGGGGCUACACACGUGUUACAAUGGGGGGUACAGAGGGCCGCUACCACGCGAGUGGAUGCCAAUCCCAAAAACCUCUCUCAGUUCGGACUGGAGUCUGCAACCCGACUCCACGAAGCUGGAUUCGCUAGUAAUCGCGCAUCAGCCACGGCGCGGUGAAUACGUUCCCGGGCCUUGUACACACCGCCCGUCAAGCCAUGGGAGCCGGGGGUACCUGAAGUGCGAACCGC